rnacentral:misc_RNA from 1 species
GCUGAUUAUAUAUCUCUCCCCAUCAAUGUCAGCUUAAUGGAGAGCAGCAGAUGAUAUUUGGUUUUCAAACUCAUUCAACUUUAAUUUGGUACAACGAAACAUAUUCACACAAGCAUCAACAGAACAUCUAUGCCAAACUUAAAUGUAAUAAUACUCAUAGAACUAAGCAGCAAUAGUGAUCAUUGUCUUCUGGCCAAAGCUUGAGUUCUUUCGAUAUCCCAACGGAGGAGGAUUACCUUGUGAGAUAGUACACGAUGAAGAAAAUCGCCACGAAAAGUGCUACUAGUGAGACCAUCUUCGGGCUCGACUUGGGAUCAAACACCGUCUUGAAUCGAUCCAUAGUGCCUGACAACACUCCUCUUGAUGAAUCCAUAUCAUUACCCAUCCUAUCCAGCAUGCGAUUAUGACUCUCCACCUCCUCAUUUAUGUCACCUGUCAACCUCUUCAACAGGAGAACUCUGUCUUGCAAGCCUUCCAAUGCUGCUUCAUUAUCAUGCUCCUCGAUUUCAUGGGAGGAGUAGGAAGAUGAGGCCCUAACACCACCCUCCUCAAUGCCAUCGAAGAGAGCAACCCUAUUGUUGCGCAGUUCCCUUCUCGCGUUCAUGACUUUCUCGGGACGAAACAGAAUCCACGCCCAGCCCUGUACGUUCUUGGAUUAGCAAUCAAAUAUUUCUCGAUCUGUUAUAGAAAACGCUUCCCGGAAGCAGUUGUCGGAGCAGCUGAAGCCUGAAAGUUUGAGAAUUGACG